AGGCGGUUCUCUAAGAGGCCCGCUAUCGGAAUGGGUACAAUUUAAACCCUUUAACGAGGACCUAUGAGAGGGCAAGUCUGGUGCCAGCAGCCGCGGUAAUUCCAGCUCUCAAGGUGUAUAUCGCCAUUGCUGCGGUUAAAAAGCUCGUAGUUGGAUCUGCGCCUUCGGACUCGGUCCUCCCAACGGGUGCGAACUGAGCUCCAAGGCUACUACUGCUGGUUUUCCCUUGAUGCUCUUCACUGGGUGUCUUGGGUGGCUAGCGAGUUUACUUUGAAAAAAUUAGAGUGCUCAAAACAGGCUAUUGCCUGAAUACCGGUGCAUGGAAUAAUAGAAUAGGAUCUCGGUCCUAUUUUGUUGGUUUUCGGAACUGAGAUAAUGGUUAAGAGGGACAGACGGGGGCAUUCGUAUCGCUGCGUGAGAGGUGAAAUUCUUGGACCGCAGCGAGACGCCCAACUGCGAAAGCAUUUGCCAAGAAUGUCUUCGUUAAUCAAGAACGAAAGUCAGAGGUUCGAAGGCGAUCAGAUACCGCCCUAGUUCUGACCGUAAACGAUGCCAACUAGCGAUCCGCCGGUGGUAAUUACGCCCCGGCGGGGAGCUUCCCGGAAACGAAAGUCUUCCGGUUCCGGGGGAAGUAUGGUUGCAAAGCUGAAACUUAAAGGAAUUGACGGAAGGGCACCACCAGGAGUGGAGCUUGCGGCUUAAUUUGACCCAACACGGGAAAACUCACCCGGCCCGGACACCGUAAGGAUUGACAGAUUGAGAGCUCUUUCUUGAUUCGGUGGUUGGUGGUGCAUGGCCGUUCUUAGUUGGUGGAGCGAUUUGUCUGGUUUAUUCCGAUAACGAACGAGACUCUGGCCUACUAACUAGUGACAGAAUUAUUGCUGUUCUGGUUACUUCUUAGAGGGACAAGUGGUGUUCAGCCACACGAAAUUGAGCAAUAACAGGUCUGUGAUGCCCUUAGAUGUCCGGGGCUGCACGCGUGCUACACUGGAGGAAACAGCAUGCAAAACCAUUGCUGAGAGGCAUUGGUAAACCCGAGAAAAUCUUCCGUGAUCGGGAUCGGGAAUUGCAAUUAUUUCCCUUGAACGAGGAAUUCCCAGUAAGUGUGGGUCAUCAGCUCGCGCUGAUUACGUCCCUGCCCUUUGUACACACCGCCCGUCGCUGCCCGGGACUGAGCCGUUUCGAGAAAAGCGGGGACUGCUGCUGUUGGGGCUUUCGGGCCUUGGCUUCGGUGGAAACCGCUU
rnacentral:rRNA from 1 species